UACGAAGGGGGCUAGCGUUGUUCGGAAUCACUGGGCGUAAAGGGCGCGUAGGCGGCUUUGUAAGUCGGGGGUGAAAGCCUGUGGCUCAACCACAGAAUUGCCUUCGAUACUGCAUGGCUUGAGACCGGAAGAGGUAAGUGGAACUGCGAGUGUAGAGGUGAAAUUCGUAGAUAUUCGCAAGAACACCAGUGGCGAAGGCGGCUUACUGGUCCGGUUCGUGAC
rnacentral:rRNA from 1 species